CAAUGGGCGAAAGCCUGAUCCAGCAAUGCCGCGUGAGUGAAGAAGGCCUUCGGGUUGUAAAGCUCUUUUACCCGGGAAGAUAAUGACCGUACCGGGAGAAUAAGCCCCGGCUAACUCCGUGCCAGCAGCCGCGGUAAUACGGAGGGGGCUAGCGUUGUUCGGAAUCACUGGGCGUAAAGCGUGCGUAGGCGGCCAUUCAAGUCAGAGGUGAAAGCCCAGGGCUCAACCCUGGAACUGCCUUUGAAACUAGAUGGCUGGAACACGGGAGAGGUGAGUGGAAUUCCGAGUGUAGAGGUGAAAUUCGUAGAUAUUCGGAAGAACACCAGUGGCGAAGGCGGCUCACUGGACCGUUGUUGACGCUGAGGCACGAAAGCGUGGGGAGCAAACAGGAUUAGAUACCCUGGUAGUCCACGCCGUAAACGAUGAUAACUAGCUGUUGGGGCUCUUGGAGCUCCAGUGGCGCAGCUAACGCAUUAAGUUAUCCGCCUGGGGAGUACGGCCGCAAGGUUAAAACUC
rnacentral:rRNA from 1 species